GAUCCUGGCUCAGGAUGAACGCUGGCGGCGUGCCUAACACAUGCAAGUCGAGCGAAGCGGUUUUAAGGAAGUUUUCGGAUGGAAUUAAAACUGACUGAGCGGCGGACGGGUGAGUAACGCGUGGGUAACCUGCCUCAUACAGGGGGAUAACAGUUAGAAAUGGCUGCUAAUACCGCAUAAGCACACAGCUUCGCAUGGAGCAGUGUGAAAAACUCCGGUGGUAUGAGAUGGACCCGNGU
rnacentral:rRNA from 1 species